rnacentral:rRNA from 1 species
AGUGAACGCUGGCGGUAGGCCUAACACAUGCAAGUCGAACGGCAGCACAGAGGAGCUUGCUCCUUGGGUGGCGAGUGGCGGACGGGUGAGGAAUACAUCGGAAUCUACUCUGUCGUGGGGGAUAACGUAGGGAAACUUACGCUAAUACCGCAUACGACCUACGGGUGAACGCAGGGGACCUUCGGGCCUUGCGCGAUUGAAUGAGCCGAUGUCGGAUCAGCUAGUUGGCGGGGUAAAGGCCCACCAAGGCGACGAUCCGUAGCGGGUCUGUGAGGAUGCUCAGCCACACUGGAACUGAGACACGGGCCAGACUCCUACGGGAGGCAGCAGUGGGGAAUAUUGGACAAUGGGCGCAAGCCUGAUCCAGCCAUACCGCGUGGGUGAAGAAGGCCUUCGGGUUGUAAAGCCCUUUUGUUGGGAAAGAAAUCCAGCUGGCUAAUACCCGGUUGGGAUGACGGUACCCAAAGAAUAAGCACCGGCUAACUUCGUGCCAGCAGCCGCCAUAA